AGAAUCAACGCUGGCGGCGUGCCUAACACAUGCAAGUCGAACGAGAAAGUGGAGCAAUCCAUGAGUAAAGUGGCGCACGGGUGAGUAACACGUGACUAACCUACCCUUGAGUGGGGGAUAACCUAGAGAAAUCUGGGCUAAUACCGCAUAAUACCUUCGGGUCAAAGGAGCAAAUUCGGCUUUAGGAGGGGGUCGCGGCCGAUUAGUUAGUUGGCGGGGUAAUGGCCCACCAAGACUGUGAUCGGUA
rnacentral:rRNA from 1 species